rnacentral:rRNA from 1 species
AGCGUAUAUUAAAGUUGUUGCAGUUAAAAAGCUCGUAGUUGAAUUUCGGGGUUAGUAGGUUGGUCAUGCCUCUGGUAUGUACCAGUCUCACUGAUUCCUCCCUCUUGACGAACUGUAAUGUCAUUAAAUUUGGUGUUGCAGGAAAUCAGGACUGUUACUUUGAAAAAAUUAGAGUGUUUAAAGCAGGCUUAGGCUUGAAUACAUUAGCAUGGAAUAAUGAAAUAGGACGUUUGAACCUAUUUUGUUGGUUUCUAGGAUCGACGUAAUGAUUAAUAGGGAUAGUUGGGGGCAUUAGUAUUCAAUUGUCAGAGGUGAAAUUCUUGGAUUUAUUGAAGACUAACUACUGCGAAAGCAUUUGCCAAGGAUGUUUUCAUUAAUCAAGAACGAAAGUUAGGGGAUCGAAGACGAUCAGAUACCGUCGUAGUCUUAACCAUAAACUAUGCCGACUAGGGAUCGGAUGAUGUUAAUUUUUUAAUGACUC